rnacentral:rRNA from 1 species
UACGGAGGAUGCAAGCGUUAUCCGGAAUUAUUGGGCGUAAAGCGUCCGUAGGUGGAAGCGCAAGUCAGUUGUUAAAGCGCGAGGCUUAACCUCGUAAGGGCAAUUGAAACUGCGCAUCUAGAGUGCGAUAGGGGCAAGGGGAAUUCCCAGUGUAGCGGUGAAAUGCGUAGAUAUUGGGAAGAACACCGGUGGCGAAAGCGCCUUGCUGGGUCUGCACUGACACUGAGGGACGAAAGCUAGGGGAGCGAAAGGG